UCUAAAGACAUGGUCACAGCUGCCUGAAGCAUGUCUUCUUCACUCAUGGCAUCACCUGUCGGGAAACAAAACACACAUUUCCUUAACAUUUCCAGAAAGUCAUCAAAGGGCACAGUGGCUGGCUAAUGCCUGUAAUCACAGCACUUCGAGAGGCUGAGGUGGGAGAAUCACGAGUCCAGGAGUUUGAGACAAGCAUGGGCGACACAGCGAGACCCUCAUCUCCACACACACACACAAAUUAGCUGGCCAUGGCGAUAUGCACCAGAAGUCCCAGUGAGGCUGAGGCAGGAGGAUCGCUUGAGCCUAGGAGGUCAAGGCUGCAGCGAGCCAGGAUCUCUCCACUGCACACCUGCCUGGGUGACAGAAUGAAAUCCCAUCGCUAAAAUAAAAAAUUUUUAAAUAGA